UACGGAGGGUGCGAGCGUUGUCCGGAAUCACUGGGCGUAAAGGGCUCGUAGGCGGCCAACUAAGUCAGACGUGAAAUCCCUCGGCUUAACCGGGGAACUGCGUCUGAUACUGGAUGGCUUGAGAUUGGGAGAGGGAUGCGGAAUUCCAGGUGUAGCGGUGAAAUGCGUAGAUAUCUGGAGGAACACCGGUGGCGAAGGCGGCAUCCUGGACCAACACUGACGCUGAGGAGCGAAAGCCAGGGGAGCAAACGGG
rnacentral:rRNA from 1 species